rnacentral:sRNA from 1 species
AAUCUGCUGCGGACAGAUGAAGUGGAUAUGGGAGUCGAUACCCCCGGCCGUGAGGAUCUUACCCUCGCCUGCGAUGAUCUCGGUUCCGGGUCCGAUAACGACAGUGACCGAUGGCUGGAUGUCGGGGUUCCCCGCCUUACCAAUCGCCGCAAUCCUUCCCGACUUCACACCGACAUCGGCCUUGACGAUACCCCAGUAGUCUACAAUCAGUGCGUUCGUAAUCACGAGAUCCAUGCAGUCUUCGCUCCCGCGCUGGGACUGGCCCAUCCCAUCUCG